UCCAUGACCCCGCCUACUCCACUUUCUUAGACGGCAAGUCAUGAAAAAAAGGAGGAUUAAAACGCCCUGCUCGGGCUGCGGCAGUGUGGAGACCUGUCGCAACGCAGACCGUUCCGCGCGGGCGGCUGCAAGCGGUAUCACGCGGAGGCGGAUACUGCGGAGCAAAGGAACAUGGCA
rnacentral:ncRNA from 1 species